rnacentral:rRNA from 1 species
AGAGUUUGAUCCUGGCUCAGGACGAACGCUGGCGGCAGGCCUAACACAUGCAAGUCGAACGCAUCCUUCGGGAUGAGUGGCGCACGGGUGAGUAACACGUGGGAACGUACCUUGGAGUGCGGAAUAAUCCUUGGAAACGAGGACUAAUACCGCAUACGCCCUUAGGGGGAAAGAUUUAUCGCUCCAAGAUCGGCCCGCGUCCGAUUAGCUAGUUGGCGGGGUAAUGGCCCACCAAGGCGACGAUCGGUAGCUGGUCUGAGAGGAUGGCCAGCCACACUGGGACUGAGACACGGCCCAGACUCCUACGGGAGGCAGCAGUGGGGAAUAUUGCGCAAUGGGGGCAACCCUGACGCAGCCAUGCCGCGUGAGUGAAGAAGGCCUUCGGGUUGUAAAGCUCUUUCGGGUGUGAAGAUGAUGACGGUAACACCAGAAGAAGCCCCGGCUAACUUCGUGCCAGCAGCCGCGGUAAU